UACAGAGGGCCCAAGCGUUGUUCGGAUUCACUGGGCGUAAAGGGUGCGUAGGCGGUUGGGUAAGUCUGACGUGAAAUCUCCGGGCCUAACCCGGAAACUGCGUUGGAUACUAUCCGGCUAGAGGAAUGGAGGGGAGACUGGAAUACUUGGUGUAGCAGUGAAAUGCGUAGAUAUCAAGUGGAACACCAGUGGCGAAGGCGAGUCUCUGGACAUUUCCUGACGCUGAGGCACGAAAGCCAGGGGAGCAAACGGG
rnacentral:rRNA from 1 species